rnacentral:rRNA from 1 species
GACGAACGCUGGCCGCGUGCCUAAUACAUGUAAGUUGAGCGCUGAAGGGUGGUACUUGUACCAACUGGAUGAGCAGCGAACGGGUGAGUAACGCGUGGGGAAUCUGCCUUUGAGCGGGGGACAACAUGUGGAAACGAAUGCUAAUACCGCAUAAAAACUUUAAACACAAGUUUUAAGUUUGAAAGAUGCAAUUGCAUCACUCAAAGAUGAUCCUGCGUUGUAUUAGCUAGUUGGUGAGGUAAAGGCUAACCAAGGCGAUGAUAACUAGCUGACCUGAGAGGGUGAUCGGCCACAUUGGGACUGAGACAAGGCCCAAACUCCUACGGGAGGCAGCAAUAGGGAAUCUUCGGCAAUGGACGAAAGUCUGACCGAGCAACGCCGCGUGAGUGAAGAAGGUUUUCGGAUCGUAAAACUCUGUUGGUAGAGAAGAACGUUGGUGAGAGUGGAAAGCUCAUCAAGUGACGGUAACUACCCAGAAAGGGACGGCUAACUACGUGCCAGCCGCCGCCGUAA